rnacentral:lncRNA from 1 species
GGGACUCCCUGCGGGGCUUGAGGUGGUGCACGGCUAUGAGGUUUCCAGACAAGUGAAAGACGGGCCAACGCAGAGUCACGGUCCCGUCCUCAGUCCUGAUGUCUCUGGAGAUGGUGUCAAAGGAUCCGAAGCACAGCAGUCAGGGCAGAAGCAGCCUGAUGGGAUCCAGAGGCUUCCCGCGAGCGGGAUCAGCCCUGAGACAGGACAGCGCCCAGCACAAGUGAUCCUGCGGGAUUUGCAGGAAGCCCAUGGCAUGCCCAGUAGAGACACGUGGGGAGGUGCUCUUGUACGUAGGCGGCCACCGCAUCCCAGACGGCAACUCGCUCUGGAGGGCAAAGGAAAAGCGGGUCACACUCUGCACCUGCCGCUUCCCGGCAGCCCUCCCGCUGCCAGGCGGGAGUGAGGUGGCAGAUGGAAAGUGUCGUCUGCGUGCCAGGAUUGGCUGCAGCAGCGCUCCUGUGGUGGCUGUGGAGCCAUGUACCUUCGGUGUCGGUGCAGAUGCUCCUUCAGGAUGCAGGACCCACCAGCGUGCACCGCCUUCAUACCCCUCCCGGGUGGCCGUGUCACAAACGUCGCCACGGCGACGCGGUGACAGCGUGGCCAGUGCUGGCCGCCGCCCAUGAUGACGCUGGCACCAGCAGCCUGCUGCCCACCCCGGGUGGCAGUGCUGGCACCUCUCUGUUUCCUCUCUCUUCUCUUCUUUGCUCUCCAUGUUAUGUGACUCGUUUUUCUUUAGUAG